CGCCGUAGAACCGUUGCCAUCGCGACAGCGGCGCCGCGGCCUGGUCUCGCGAAGCGGCGCUCUGAAGCCUGGGCUGUGGUAGCUUGAAUCCCAAGAGCUGCGGGCUGAGGAAGGAGGCCGAGAUGUCUUUCCGCGACCUCCGUAAUUUCACCGAGAUGAUGAGGGCCCUGGGGUAUCCCCGGCUCAUCUCCAUGGAGAAUUUCCGCACUCCGAACUUCAUGCUGGUUUCCGAGAUCCUCCUCUGGCUGGUGAAAAGAUAUGAGCCUCAGAGCGAUAUCCCUUCAGAUGUGGACACAGAGCAAGAUCGGGUCUUUUUCAUUAAGGCGGUUGCUCAGUUUAUG